GUGGGGAAUAUUCCGCAAUGGACGAAAGUCUGACGGAGCAACGCCGCGUGAGUGAUGAAGGUUUUCGGACUGUAAAGCUCUGUUGUUUGGGACGAAAGUGCCUGUUGCGAACAGUUACGGGUAUUGACGGUACUAAACGAGGAAGCCACGGCUAACUACGUGCCAGCAGCCGCGGUAAUACGUAGGUGGCAAGCGUUGUCCGGAAUUAUUGGGCGUAAAGAGCAUGUAGGCGGGAAUCUAAGUCUGUUGUUAAAAUGCGGGGCUCAACCCCGUAGUGCGAUGGAAACUGGGUUUCUUGAGUGCAGGAGAGGAAAGGGGAAUUCCCAGUGUAGCGGUGAAAUGCGUAGAUAUUGGGAGGAACACCAGUGGCGAAGGCGCCUUUCUGGACUGUGUCUGACGCUGAGAUGCGAAAGCCAGGGUAGCGAACGGGAUUAGAAACCCUUGUAGUCC
rnacentral:rRNA from 1 species